UGUUAAGUGUCAGUGACCUUACUCAGCAGUCCCCAGACUGGUCAAGGUCCUUGUAAUGAGAAAACCAAAUUACAGGUACGUAAUUUUCACAGUUUUCUGCCAGGAUCUCCAAGCUGGUGACAAAUUGAUAUACUACUGUCUGUGUGAAAGGCUGCUUUCAGAACGCAGGCCACUGGGCUGAAAUACUAUAGCUAAAGGAUUUUGCAAUUUCAAGCCUCUGAGAUAUUUUUAUAAAAAAAAAAAAAAAAAAAAAAAGAAACCUUCACCCAACUCCCUUGUAGAGUGCUAAACUGUAGAACAUAUUUGUUUCAGCGUAGAGAACCUUGCCAAAAUGACAAAAUGUGAGAAAAUAAUCUUCAGGCACCAGGGACCAAGAGAUCACAAAAAAGCAACCAACCUUGAGAGAUGGUGUAUAUCUUGGGAUUCGAAUCUCAAAUGGUGAAUUUGUUAGGCAUUUCUCUCUCUAACUUUUAAAUGUUGACAGUUAGGCAAUAACUCCCUUAAUGUCACGCACGUUUCUGCAAAGUAAUUUUCUAAAAUAAUAAAAGCAGUUACUUUAAUAGUAACAUAACAUUUGCUAGUUUUCCUUUGUCAGGUUCAGCUCUGGACACUUCCUCUGCAGGCAUCCAGUCACCCUUUUCAUUACUGUGCCCAUCUUACAAGUGAAAAGACUCAGGCGCAGAAGGAAAUUGUCUGGCUAUUGUCUGCACAGCCAGUGAAGGCCAGGACCAGUAGUCACAGAGUUUCUCUGUACAUGUGGGGAUUCUGAAUAUUGGAAGCAAACUACGUGUGAUUGCUAUUGAUUUGAUUGGCACAAAGUGUGAGCGUCCCUACAGUGUUGACUGCUGGAGUAAGAUCACUGGAGAUGAAGAUAAGGAGAUGAAGAGAAGCUUAAUUUUUAAAUGGAUGAAUUCCAAUCAGAUUCACCAGUGUUUUGGAAACAUGGGCCAUAUACAUAAAGAUAUAAUCCAGUAUCUGCAAAACUGACACAUACAAGUCCUUCCUUCUAGUGUGUUGCCCGAAUACAAAAUCAUCUAUAAUUCAAGAAACAAAAAGCACUAGAGGGGAGAAUUUUGCCAAACUGGACCAACCUGUUCUAGCAGUUAUGGACAAAGAAGUAUCUGAUGAAGUCUCAAGGUACAAGAGUUGUAGCACGGGUUGCAAGAAGCAUCCUGUGUCUCCCCCUGCUGGUUGGUGCAAUAAGUUAAUGAAACAACCCCAGGACUCCUAAGGAGGCCUAUAAGGCCAUGACUUCAUGCUUUGUGGUGUCUGGUCAUCUGGCCUCUGUGAACUUUGAGUACGCAAGGUUGAUCUAGAGUUCAUAUCAGGAUAUUUUCUCUCAUCCUCAGCCUUCCAAAUCUGUUUAAUUAGCAUUCUGCAUUUCUUAACAAUUCUAACUUCA